UACGGAGGGUGCAAGCGUUAUCCGGAUUCACUGGGGUUAAAGGGUGCGUAGGUGGGUUGGUAAGUCAGUGGUGAAAUCCCCGAGCUUAACUUGGGAACUGCCAUUGAUACUAUCAGUCUUGAAUACUGUGGAGGUCAGCGGAAUAUGUCAUGUAGCGGUGAAAUGCUUAGAUAUGACAUAGAACACCGAUUGCGAAGGCAGCUCACUACAGAGUCAUUGACGCUGAGGCACGAAAGCGUGGGGAUCAAACAGG
rnacentral:rRNA from 1 species